UACGUAGGGGGCAAGCGUUGUCCGGAAUCAUUGGGCGUAAAGAGCGUGUAGGCGGCCAAGCAGGUCCGUUGUGAAAACUGGAGGCUUAACCUCCAGACGUCGACGGAAACCGCGCGGCUAGAGUCCGGAAGAGGAGAGUGGAAUUCCUGGUGUAGCGGUGAAAUGCGCAGAUAUCAGGAAGAACACCAAUGGCGAAGGCAGCUCUCUGGGACGGUACUGACGCUGAGACGCGAAAGCGUGGGGAGCGAACAGG
rnacentral:rRNA from 1 species